AGAGAGAGAGAGAGAGAGAGAGAGAGAGGUGGGGUGUUAAAUGGAAUUUCCAGUUGAAAAAUAUGUCUAGUCAGCAACUUAACCACUGAUUUGGACGGCGACUUAACGGAUGGACCUAAUUGUGUGACAUUGGAUAGUUAAUGGAGUAAUCGAUUGAAAUUGAAAGUUGAUGGAGUAAACUGUCGAGCGCAUGAAAGCUAAUGGAGUGACCAAUAAUUUCUCCAAAAUUUUAUAUAGGCGGUUGCGUCUCAUCUACGUGAAAGUUUUUCGUGUGGAAGGUUUGACCAAACUAGGUAAUAUAGAGGGAGAUAUAAGCGUUUUCGUGAAUUUUUAGACUUUAGCCGACGAGAUAUUAAAAAAGUCGUCGGCUAAGGUCAGAAAAUUUUUGGCGGUAAACCAAAUUUGGAGGAAAAUUUUCAAAGGACUUUAGCCGACGAAAAUAUAUGAAAAGUCGUCGGCUAAAGUCGAAAAAAAAAAUUGGCGCCAAACCAAAUUUGGGGAAAAAUUUUUAAAAUUUUCAAAGGACUUAAACUGACGAAAAUAUAUGAUUUUGUCGGCUAUUGUCAAAAAAAUUUUGGCGGUCAACCAAAAUUUUUAAAAUUUUCAAAAAAGUUUAGCCGACGAAAAUAAAGAAUUUCGUCGAGUAAAGUUUUUUAUAUAGGAGUUUUACCAGAGGUGAAUGGUAAGAAGUUAGGAAAUCAGAAAAAGUUAUUGUUUUUCCUACCGGAUUUUCUUCUCGGCCUAGCUCCGCCGUCAAGCCACCAGAGAUCGCCACACUUGUCUCAAAAGCUUCGCCGUCGUCUCUACUUCAUUGCUGGACAGGUGGCGCAUCGAGUGGCGUUGCCGUGAGGGAUAAAUCGAGCUCCAAAACUCCGCCGGUUCGGAUUCGGUGUCGAUCGAAUUUCUCCUUCCUCAGGUCACCAUUUGGUGAGUUCUAUAUAUGGAUAAGUUGAGUUUGAUUAGUAUUACAUUCCCUUAGAAUUUGGUAGCUCGAUUUGGUGUGUGUGAGGAGAAUCGAAGAUUUGAAGUUUUUAGGGUUUAAAAUUGGGGAUUUUUAUAUUUUGAUUCAAUUGACCUGUUUAGGCUUAGAAUUGGGCUUCGACUUCUUCUAGAAAGUUGUUCGAAAUAUUGAGAGGAAGAUUUUGUCAAAUUUGGUGGUGAUUGG
rnacentral:lncRNA from 1 species